rnacentral:rRNA from 1 species
GGAUUAGAUACCCUGGUAGUCCUAGCCGUAAACGAUGGGCACUAGGUGUUGGAGGAGUCUACCCCUUCAGUGCCGCAGCUAAUGCAUUAAGUGCCCCACCUGGGGAGUACGAUCGCAAGGUUGAAACUCAAAGGAAUUGACGGGGGCCCGCACAAGCGGUGGAGCAUGUGGUUUAAUUCGAUGCAACGCGAAGAACCUUACCUGGACUUGACAUGCAGGGGACAGGUGCGGAAACGUACCCUUCUUCGGACCCCUGUGCAGGUGCUGCAUGGCUGUCGUCAGCUCGUGCCG